GGUGCAAAUGAUGGUAAAUGCGAUCAAAGUAUGAACAUCUAUGAUUCGAAAUUCAUAAACUUCUGAUGCACC